CAAUAGCGUAUAUUAAAGUUGUUGCAGUUAAAAAGCUCGUAGUUGGAUUUGUGGCGUACGGUGUGUUCCGGGCACUUGUUGUCUGAGUAACCUGCUGUUGCCACCCUUGGGUGGAACCUGUGUGGCAUUAGGUUGUCGUGCAGGGGAUGCCCAUCAUUUACUGUGAAAAAAUUAGAGUGUUCAAAGCAGGCUUAUGCCGUUGAAUAUAUUAGCAUGGAAUAAUGAGAUAGGACUUUUUUGCUAUUUUGUUGGUUUGCGCAAAGAGGUAAUGAUUAAUAGGGACAGUUGGGGGUAUUCGUAUUCCAUUGUCAGAGGUGAAAUUCUUGGAUUUUUGGAAGACGAACUACUGCGAAAGCAUUUACCAAGGAUGUUUUCAUUAA
rnacentral:rRNA from 1 species